rnacentral:tRNA from 1 species
CAGGGAGACAACAAAAUGUUUAUAUUAUUAUUUUGUCACCUUAGGUCGAUCGGUAUCUCACGUUUUUAAUUUAUUAAGAAUUUCAUUUCCUAAGUUUUUCUAGGUCACACCCAUUAUUUUUCCUGGGCCAUUAGCUCUGGUGGUUAGAGCGCACCCCUGAUAAGGGUGAGGUCCCUGGUUCAAGUCCAGGAUGGCCCAUAUCUCUAUGUUGGGGGUAUAGCUCAGUUGGUAGAGCGCCUGCUUUGCAAGCAGGAUGUCAGCGGUUCGAGUCCGCUUACCUCCACUGAUUACCACCUCUUCCAUAAUCGGUAGAAAGGAAACGUUUUGAGUAGUGAUCAAAUUCUGAAAGAAUCUAGCUUCCUAAUGGAAUCAUUAAGAUGCUGGACUCAUUGAAUUAAUUUCAUUGUUUUCAGAGAACCUUGACAACUGCAUAGAUUAUUUUUAAAGACAAUAAGCAUCUUUAAUGAUGCAGAUUUAUUAUUUGUGCGAAUGCAUUAAUAACAAUUCUAUUAAGCUGAUGCUUCAAUUUUGAAGUUAUU